AUAACAAGAGGGUGAAGCUGAAAUUCACCUUCAUUGCGCGGUCAAAGUCUUGGGAGGAUGCGAUCCAGGCGCGGUUAUUCGCAGCCGCCGACGAUGAUACGGUAAAGGAUCGGACGCGUUGAGUUUAGCAAGGCCUUGAGCCUUGCAUUUUUUU
rnacentral:sRNA from 1 species